rnacentral:tRNA from 1 species
GCUCCCGUGGUGUAGCCCGGUUAAUCAUUUCGGCCUCUCGAGCCGAAGACUCGGGUUCAAAUCCCGACGGGAGCA